rnacentral:piRNA from 1 species
UAGAAGAGAAUAAAGAGCUGAACUAGACAGU